GAUGAAGAACGCAGCGAAAUGCGAUAAGUAAUGUGAAUUGCAGAAUUCAGUGAAUCAUCGAGUCUUUGAACGCACAUUGCGCCCCCUGGUAUUCCGGGGGGCAUGCCUGUCCGAGCGUCAUUGCUGCCCUCAAGCACGGCUUGUGUGUUGGGCCCCGUCCCCUCCCCCGGGGACGGGCCCGAAAGGCAGCGGCGGCACCGCGUCCGAUCCUCGAGCGUAUGGGGCUUUGUCACCCGCUCUGUAGGCCCGGCCGGCGCCAGCCGACACCCAACUUUUAUUUCUAAGGUUGACCUCGGAUCAGGUAGGGAUACCCGCUGAACUUAAGCAUAUCAAUGCGGAGGA
rnacentral:misc_RNA from 1 species